rnacentral:rRNA from 1 species
AGGGAUUGCCCUAGUAACGGCGAGUGAAGCGGCAACAGCUCAAAUUUGAAAUCUGGCUCUUUCAGAGUCCGAGUUGUAAUUUGCAGAGGGCGCUUUGGCUUUGGCAGCGGUCCAAGUUCCUUGGAACAGGACGUCACAGAGGGUGAGAAUCCCGUACGUGGUCGCUAGCUAUUGCCGUGUAAAGCCCCUUCGACGAGUCGAGUUGUUUGGGAAUGCAGCUCUAAAUGGGAGGUAAAUUUCUUCUAAAGCUAAAUAUUGGCCAGAGACCGAUAGCGCACAAGUAGAGUGAUCGAAAGAUGAAAAGCACUUUGGAAAGAGAGUCAAACAGCACGUGAAAUUGUUGAAAGGGAAGCGCUUGCAGCCAGACUUGCUUGCAGUUGCUCAUCCGGGCUUUUGCCCGGUGCACUCUUCUGCAGGCAGGCCAGCAUCAGUUUGGGCGGUGGGAUAAAGGUCUCUGUCACGUACCUUCCUUCGGGUUGGCCUUAUAGGGGAGACGCCAUACCACCAGCCUGGACUGAGGUCCGCGCAUCUGCUAGGAUGCUGGCGUAAUGGCUGUAAGCGGCCCGUCUUGAAACACGGACCAAGGAGUCUAACAUCUAUGCGAGUGUUUGGGUGUCAAGCCCGAGCGCGUAAUGAAAGUGAACGGAGGUGGGAACCCGCAAGGGUGCACCAUCGACCGAUCCUGAAGUUUACGGAAGGAUUUGAGUAAGAGCAUGGCUGUUGGGACCCGAAAGAUGGUGAACUAUGCUUGAAUAGGGUGAAGCCAGAGGAAACUCUGGUGGAGGCUCGCAGCGGUUCUGACGUGCAAAUCGAUCGUCAAAUUUGGGCAUAGGGGCGAAA